rnacentral:rRNA from 1 species
UACGAAGGGGGCUAGCGUUGCUCGGAUUUACUGGGCGUAAAGGGUGCGUAGGCGGACCGUUUAGUUGGGGGUGAAAGCCCGGGGCUCAACCUCGGAAUUGCCUUCAAUACUGGCGGUCUUGAGUAUGGAAGAGGUAAGUGGAACUCCGAGUGUAGAGGUGAAAUUCGUAGAUAUUCGGAAGAACACCGGUGGCGAAGGCGACUUACUGGUCCAUUACUGACGCUGAGGCACGAAAGCGUGGGGAGCAAACAGG